AGACAGUCCAUGGUUUCACAAUGAUCUCUGUUAUGUUGUGAUGCUGUUUUAAUACAAACAAUUAUAAGUUGUAUUUCUUUAAAUAGAAAAAUACAGUUCCGGUCUGCAAAUUCAUGUGAUAUUCUCAUUCUCACAGUCGUGAGUUUUUAAGUAAGCAGGGAUAUCUUCUGUAUCAUCUGAAGUGAGAUCUGCUGCUGUCAAGAUGAUGUUUGUUAAAAAAGAGAGUGAGGAGAACACGAGUGAACCAGAAACCUGGAGAAUAAAACACGAGGAACAAGGCCUGAUGAAAGUGAAAGAAGAAAGACAAGAUCUGAAUGAAGUGGAGGAGAGCUAUCAGGAUCAGAAAGCUCAUGAUGUCACUGGAGAAAAAUCAGAUGUGAGGGAAGGAUGCAAGGAAAAGAAAUGAAGACGGAGAAAUCAAAGGAUCAGCAAUGGAAUAUUCUUGACCACUCCAGCAUCACUUGACAGUGUCAUCAGCUUCACUAAAAGGAUCUGCCCCCUAUAUUGUUAAAAUUUCUUAAGGAAUUCAUAAUGAAUAUUAAUAAAGCAAGAUGCUCUCUUGAAA